UUUGCCCCGUCAAUGUGCUGGAUGCAGUUGUAAGAACAAGUGAGGUGGAUUGAAUUGCAGGUGUGAAUAAGAUAAACUGUACAUAUUGGAGCAUGGCAUGUGUAUUUGUAAGACAAAUUAUCCUAUUGGUUAAGCUGUGAAUAAACAAAGGUUCCAAUUUCAAUUUUGAAGAGGUUAUAAAAUUAUUGAAAGAGAUAAAUAUUUGUUUAUGGAUUCUACAUGCGUAAUGUUGUUACAAGGCUAAGAUAAGGGACGAGGCAGUGGCAUUACUAGCUCAGGCAAAAAGACAGAUACCCAUGUCAGUAGCAGCACCAAAUGCAGUUAAUAAUGCUGUCUUAAGCAAUGGGAAAAGAGGUACUUGACUUUUUUGCAAGUGGAGUAAUUCUAUUUACUGUGUUUGCUGAUUUAUGUAACUCUAUUUUGUUUGCGGCUGCUGGGCAUGAUGAGAUGGGUCAUGAUGGGGGAAAAAUACAUCCUAGAAUAUCAAAUAAUAUCAUUUCCGAGCUUUCAGGCUGUAAUGCUGCUCUUUCACAUCCAAGGAAAAAGCGAAAGGUCAUACUUUUAGUGAUAUAGAGUUUUUGCUCUGUUAAAUGGUUUUAGCAUGUCUUAUAGUUUAGCUAUUGAAAAUUCUUUCCUGCAAAUCUCACAAGCUUCAUAUAUUUGUAUAAUUUCAGAUACCCCCAACAUUGGCAUUUGUUGAUGCUGUGGAGAAAUAACUCAACUUAAUGGUUAUCCUCCUCAUCGGACAAAACAAAGUUGCCAUAUUAUCUUUUGACAUCCAAUAAUCCAAGGUAUGGGAUUAUAAUGUUUAUUGGUUCAUCAAUCCAUCCUUUUUCAUUCAAUAGAUUGCCUUCCACAUGGCAUGACCCUGCAUAUUACCUCUAUUUUAAAAUUUUUUUUUUCGGAUCUCCCCAUUUAUCUAAUUAAAAUCAAGGUAUAGAUCUGGUAAUGUUGAAUUAUUGAGUUCAAGUAUAGGCUUUGGAGGCAUUGAAUCAGUGUGCUGCUGUAAAGCAAAGCAGUGACAUAGUAGUGUAAUGCUCUGUUUAAAUGGAUUUUUAUAUGGUAUUGUGGGUCGUAUUGUAGAUACUUAUACAACUUUUUGACUAUUUCCUAGCUUCUUGAAAAAGUGUGCGCCAAUACCUAAAUUCAAUUGUUUCAAGACUAUUAUAGGAUUUAUCUAAUUUAUUUAUUUAUUUAUUUAUUUUGACAAAAUACUUCCGAGAAAAAAAGUGCGGCCUGAUGAAGGUUCACUGAAUGCUCAAAUUUGGGCGUGGUACCCGGAUCAAUCAUUAUGCAUUAAUGGAUUUACUCCUUGUGUUGUUAUAAUUGUAUGGUUAAUUCUUGUUUUCAUUUACUCUUAAUUGAUUAUAGUCAAACGAUAUUAUUUGUGCAGGUCUAACAAGGAGUGGAAGAAACUAUUCUAUUUUAACAGAAAUCUUAGUUCAACUUAUAAACAUGGAAGACCUGAAGCAACUGAAGUUAAUUAAACACUCUGAUAUUGUAAUAUUUGCUGCAAAAUUAUCUAAUAUGAUGUCGGUUGUAGCAUGCAUUCUUGGCUGGAAUAUCCAGUUUAUCAAAUGGUCUCAAUACUUCAUUUGAAUUAUAUAAAAAUUGGAUUCACUAGGUGAUGAUGAUAUUCACGUAUAGCAUGGGCAUAAGGGACAAAGUUGCUUGUUUUCAAACAUUUCAAGAUAAAAUACUUUAAAAUCAUAAAAAAAAAUAGUUAUUUUAAAAGUAACUGUUACUGUACUCUCAAAAUUAACAUACUCAUUUGUAAUUUUGAUGUAUAAAGAAAAAUCUUAUUUUGAAACUUAUUUACUUAUAAGUGAACUUUUUUAGCUUAACCAAAUGUUUUCUUUCUAGAAAAAUGUAUAUAUCCAUAAGCUCAGCACAAGCCAUAUGAAUUCAGGAAGAGCAAAGUAAAAAAAAGAAUUGAGGAAAUUAUUAGACAAUCAUUUACAGGUAACAUUCCAACCCCAUAUUUGCUUAGAUGGAAUGUGAACCUUAUGAUUUAUACUUGAUAUGUAAUUUAGCUUUAAAUUGUAUUUUAAAAUGUUUUAAAAAAAUCAAAAUUUCACACUAAUGUUACUUCCUUGCAGAAGGAAAUGCAAUUGUUGAGAACACAAAUCAAAUUAUCAAUGAUAAUACCCUUACAUAAGUUCAAGGAAUACGUAGACAUUGAAUACAUAUAUAAUAGGAGCAUCUACUAACUUUAAAGUAAUACUAUUAUUUUGUGUUCAUCUGAACUAUUAUUUAUCUUUGUACCUUUCUGCUGUUUACUAAGCUUUUAGAAUUUUAAUUUCUUAUUAAGACAAACUGAUAAAUACAAAUCUGAAAUGUAACCAACAAAUAUUUUCGUGAAGGUACAAUGAUGGUAAUCCUAUAUCUGGAGAUGAUCGACCAUACAUGGUGGAUACGGUGUUUACAUACCAUCUUGAAAAAGCUACAAAGAUAGGAGUUGGAUUAGGGCGAGGAAUUCAAAAAUUCCUUUGAGUUGUAAGGCCACACCAAAAGCUUCA
rnacentral:lncRNA from 1 species